rnacentral:rRNA from 1 species
CGUGUAGGCGGUCCGGUAAGUCCGCUGUGAAAGUCGGGGGCUCAACCCUCGAAAGCCGGUGGAUACUGUCGGGCUAGAGUGCGGAAGAGGCGAGUGGAAUUCCUGGUGUAGCGGUGAAAUGCGCAGAUAUCAGGAGGAACACCAAUUGCGAAGGCAGCUCGCUGGGACGUAACUGACGCUGAGACGCGAAAGCGUGGGAGCAAACA